rnacentral:lncRNA from 1 species
UGCGUAUUGUUAUGCGUUUACUUUACUACAUUGGUUAGAGGUAUAGGGGGAGGGUUGAGAUCUCACAAACAUGUUUAACCCCGCCGCAUUUUUGCGCCUGUCCCAAGUCAGGAGCCUCUGGCCUUUGUUAGUCUUGUAUUAUUUUAAUUUUAGUUUCUUGUGUACAAUUUGGAAAUUAGUAUGGCGUUCAUUAUCACUGGACUAGUAUAUAUUUGUUUAGGGGCCAGCUGAAGGACGCCUCCGGGUGCGGGAAUUUCUCGCUACAUUGAAGACCUGUUGCUGACCCUCUGCUGUUGUUUUUUAUUUGGGCGGGUUGUUGUCUCUUUGACACAUUCCCCAUUUCCAUUCUCAAUUUUAUUUCAUUUCUA